rnacentral:rRNA from 1 species
GCUUGUCUCAAAGAUUAAGCCAUGCAUGUCUAAGUGUAAAUAAGUCUAUACUGUGAAACUGCGAAUGGCUCAUUAAAUCAGUUAUCGUUUAUUUGAUGAUCUCUUACUACUUGGAUAACCGUAGUAAUUCUAGAGCUAAUACAUGCGUCAAUACCCUUCUGGGGUAGUAUUUAUUAGAUUGAAACCAACCGCUUCGGCGUGAUGUGGUGAUUCAUAAUAACUGUUCGAAUCGCACGGGCAACCGGCGAUAGUUCAUUCAAAUUUCUGCCCUAUCAGCUUUCGACGGUAGUGUAGUGGACUACCGUGGCGUUAACGGGUAACGGAGAAUUAGGGUUCGAUUCCGGAGAGGGAGCCUGAGAAACGGCUACCACAUCCAAGGAAGGCAGCAGG